GGUUGUUUGUACGGCUCCGCCUCCUUUUCUUCGCUAUCCUUUCCUCCGUUCCUGUUCUCUGGAUCCCAUCGCCGGAGCCGCCGCGUCCUCCGCUCCCGGCGGUGCCCCCGCUCCCGCGCACCCGAGCCGCCCUCCCCGUGGUCCGCCACUUCUGCCUCCCCACCGGGCCGCCCUCAGCAUCGACGACAGUUGAGUCUGUCCAGCGACGCCUCCUCCCCGCCCGGUGGCCCGGCCUCGCGUCGCCCGGGGCCGCUUCCCCUCCGCCACCGCUGCCCAGUCCGCGCCCAGGCGCGGCCGCUGCUGCCUUCCCAGCCAGCCGCAAUCCUCAUCCGCCCCUGCCUCUGUUUGCUGAAUUUGCAAGGGCUUCGAUUCUUGGAGACGCAAUUGAGUACCUGAAGGUGUAACUUCCCAGAAGUCAUCGGAGGAAGACAAGCCAGAUGCAAGUUUUGAGCCAUCAAAUCCAAUGCUUCUUCUGGGAAUCCAUUGGAGGAAAAUGAGGAGAGUGUCAAGCCAUCGAAUAAUGUUGUUACUCUAGAGAAGCUAUUGGAAGAAGAUGGGGCAAGCAUGGAGCCAUCAGAAGACAAUGAUGCUCUUGAGGAACCAAACGAAGAAGAAAAGGCGAUUCACAAGCUGCCUGAGGACAAAAUAGCCCUUGUUCAAUGUUACGACUGCAAAUUGUGGCUAGUUAUUUAUAUGUAGUUAAAUUUUGCAUGAUUCAUCACUUUAGACAGGAUAAGGCAGGCUGACAAUCUGAUGUAUAUAGUGUAGGGCUCAAAUUGUACAAUGUAUGGAUGUAUUACAAAAGAGAUAUUAUUCUGAAAUAAAUAUGGCUGUUCUUCAACA